UUUAAUACGUUGGAUUUCAGUGCGGAUUGGCGCGUGCCAUGAUGUUAAAAGGAAAUCAGGUGAAAGUCCUGAGCAAUCCGGUUACUGUAAUCAUCUUACUAAUCCCCUAAUUAUGUCAUUGCGCACGACGUGAGAAGGCUUGGGGAGAUAUGGGUGAGAGCCAGGAAACCUGCUGAAUUUUGGUGAGUUCU
rnacentral:ncRNA from 2 species